rnacentral:rRNA from 1 species
GACGAGUCUGCGGCCCAUCAGCUUGUUGGUGAGGUAACGGCUUACCAAGGCGAAGACGGGUAGCUGGUCUGAGAGGAUGAUCAGCCACACUGGCACUGGAACACGGGCCAGACUCCUACGGGAGGCAGCAGUGAGGAAUAUUGGGCAAUGGGCGCAAGCCUGACCCAGCCACGCCGCGUGAGUGAUGAUGGCUUUCGAGUUGUAAAGCUCUGUGGGGAGGGAAGAAAAUGCGUACGAAUAAUAAGCGUGCGUACUGACGGUACCUCCUUAGAAAGCACCGGCUAAC